GACCCCUCCCAGGCCGCUCGGAUCUCGCCACCCGACCCAUCUACAAACCCUACCUGCGGUGGCGGCUUGCCCGGCAGCAGCGCCUUCACGUUGCCCGGCGGCAGCUCCUUUACGUAGCUAAGGGUGCGUGUGAGAAGAAGGUGGUGGAUGUGAGCAACAAGCUGAGGGUGCGGACGAGCGCCGAGAUCGAGCAGCAGAGCACCUCCGGCCGAUUCACCAUGAUCGUCAACAGGCCAGUGGCCACCGGCCAGCAUGGCGGAUGUCAUAAUAAGGGAUAUCAAGGGCAAGUUCUUGAAGAUUACCGAAACCGCCGACAAGGUCUUAGUGCUGCCGGAGCUCGUCCCGUACCAGAAGAAAGAUCAGUGGUUCAUGAUUUAAGAAGCUGGUAGGGUCAAACCAUGUGUUUGCAUGGUCGUCCUUAUUUAGAAGCUUUUGUGCAACUGAAUAGACGUGCGUCCAUGAAAGGUUAUCUUGUUUUUCUUACAUAAAUCAGUUUGUCACUCGUAUUUCAUUCAUCACCCUACUCUUCCAGUUGGAAGUUGUGGUAAACUAUUGACCAAGCCCACUUUUUAUUAAUUGUGGAUUUAUGUGUUUUUCUUCUUUCUUGUUUAUUAGCCAGUGUUGCCUACAUGUCACUUCAAUCUUCCACCAUUGAAGUUACUGUAAAAACAAAUCGUGAUGUUACUUUAAACAAAUGACCAUAUGUGCUUCCUUCCCACGAAAUUACAGGUUUUAUUUUUCACUUUCUUGGAUGAAAAUUAUUGUUUUUUGACUAAGAAUGAAGAUAAAUUUAUUGUACACAUGAAAUCAACAUAAUUUUUUAUAUGAAUUGAAAUCUAUAUCCAAGAACAAACAAAUGCACCCACUGUACUCUUCUCCUGUCAUCUUUGCACAUUGUUUUUCUAUGCUAUGUAGUGCACUUGGACAUAGAUUCAACAUGAGUCUAAUUUGCAGUUGCCGCUUAGUCGUUUGCAAGUGAUUUUUGUAGAGAAAUGGGACUUGGAGGUCAGCACAGAACUUGAUUGAUAUGUUUUGUGUUUCCUAUGAUAGUAGCUGUUUAUCAGAGGGUCUGUGUUUGUGUUUUCUCAUUUGGAUAUGGCUAACGCCCAACCAUGUACCUGAUCUGUUGUAACAUUAUAAACUAUUGAAGUAUAUGACUCGGACACUAGAUGAUGUAUUUGUUGAUGUGCUGGUAGUUCAAUCUGUAUAUUAAAUGACUUUUAAAUUUAUGGCUCAUUAUUUGCAGUU